rnacentral:tRNA from 1 species
AGAGAAAUUUGUUUGCUUGCAAACAAAUAGAAAGACGACGAAAUUGACUGUUUUUUUAUGAAGUUCUACUUCGCUGUUAUCCUCAAUGAUUUUUGUGAGACAGUCUCGUAGCUCAGCUGGUUAGAGCGCUACACUGAUAAUGUAGAGGUCGGCAGUUCGAGUCUGCCCGAGACUACGAUACGGAAAGUCUGGAAGCUGAAAUGCUGCUCCAUAAGGAACUUGUUUCAGGUUCAACUUUUAUGGGGGAUUAGCUCAGCUGGCUAGAGCGCUUGAUUUGCAUUCAAGAGGUCAUCGGUUCGACUCCGAUAUUCUCCACUACGAAUACUGUUUUGAAGUAUUCCAAACGUUCAUUGACAUAUUGAGUAAUAUACAAUCAAAUUUAUAAGGUAUAAGCACACAAUCGAGCCGAUUGUGGAGCUUGUACGAGCAAUUAGUAACAAUUUCAUAUAUAAGAGAAAUAAUCGUUAC